UGGCUCAGGAUGAACGCUGGCGGCGUGCCUAACACAUGCAAGUCGAGCGAUUCUCUUCGGAGAAGAGCGGCGGACGGGUGAGUAACGCGUGGGUAACCUGCCCUGUACACACGGAUAACAUACCGAAAGGUAUGCUAAUACGAGAUAAUAUACUUUUAUCGCAUGGUAGAAGUAUCAAAGCUCCGGCGGUACAGGAUGGACCCGCGUCUGAUUAGCUAGUGGUAAGGUAACGGCUUACCAAGGCGACGAUCAGUAGCCGACCUGAGAGGGUGAUCGGCCACAUUGGAACUGAGACACGGUCCAAACUCCUACGGGAGGCAGCAGUGGGGAAUAUUGCACAAUGGGCGAAAGCCUGAUGCAGCAACGCCGCGUGAGCGAUGAAGGCCUUCGGGUCGUAAAGCUCUGUCCUCAAGGAAGAUAAUGACGGUACUUGAGGGGGAAGCCCCGGCUAACUACGUG
rnacentral:rRNA from 1 species